AGCGGCGAACGGGUGAGUAACACGUGAGCAAUCUGCCCUUCUCUUUGGAAUAACCAUUGGAAACGAUGGCUAAUGCCGAAUAUGACCUCCCUUCGCAUGUUGGGAGGUGGAAAGCUCCGGCGGAGAUGGAUGAGCUCGCGGCCUAUCAGCUUGUUGGUGAGGUAAUGGCUCACCAAGGCAUUGACGGGUAGCCGGCCUGAGAGGGUGACCGGCCACACUGGGACUGAGACACGGCCCAGACUCCUACGGGAGGCAGCAGUGGGGAAUAUUGGACAAUGGGCGAAAGCCUGAUCCAGCAACGCCGCGUGAGGGAUGACGGCCUUCGGGUUGUAAACCUCUUUCAGCAGGGACGAAGCGAGAGUGACGGUACCUGCAGAAGAAGGACCGGCCAACUACGUGCCAGCAGCCGCGGUAAUACGUAGGGUCCGAGCGUUGUCCGGAAUUAUUGGGCGUAAAGGGCUCGUAGGCGGUUUGUCGCGUCGGGAGUGAAAACUCAGGGCUCAACCCUGAGCGUGCUUUCGAUACGGGCAGACUAGAGGUAUGCAGGGGAGAACGGAAUUCCUGGUGUAGCGGUGGAAUGCGCAGAUAUCAGGAGGAACACCGGUGGCGAAGGCGGUUCUCUGGGCAUUACCUGACGCUGAGGAGCGAAAGCAUGGGGAGCGAACAGGAUUAGAUACCCUGGUAGUCCAUGCCGUAAACGUUGGGCGCUAGGUGUGGGGACCUUCCACGGUUUCCGUGCCGCAGCUAACGCAUUAAGCGCCCCGCCUGGGGAGUACGGCCGCAAGGCUAAAACUCAAAGGAAUUGACGGGGGCCCGCACAAGCGGCGGAGCAUGCUGAUUAAUUCGAUGCAACGCGAAGAACCUUACCUGGGUUUGACAUA
rnacentral:rRNA from 1 species